rnacentral:rRNA from 1 species
UUCGGCCCCAGGCGAAUUACGGGUAGCCGGCCUGAGAGGGCGACCGGCCACACUGGGACUGAGACACGGCCCAGACUCCUGCGGGAGGCAGCAGUGGGGAAUAUUGCGCAAUGGGCGAAAGCCUGACGCAGCGACGCCGCGUGGGGGAUGACGGCCUUCGGGUUGUAAACCUCUUUUACCACUCACGCAGGCCCCACGUUUUCCCGGGGUUGACGGUAGGUGGGGAAUAAGGACCGGCUAACUACGUGCCAGCAGCCGCGGUAAUACGUAGGGUCCGAGCGUUGUCCGGAAUUAUUGGGCGUAAAGAGCUCGUAGGCGGCGUGUCGCGUCUGCUGUGAAAGACCGGGGCUUAACCCCGGUUCUGCAGUGGAUACGGGCAUGCUAGAGGUAGGUAGGGGAGACUGGAAUUCCUGGUGUAGCGGUGAAAUGCGCAGAUAUCAGGAGGAACACCGGUGGCGAAGGCGGGUCUCUGGGCCUUACCUGACGCUGAGGAGCGAAAGCAUGGGGAGCGAACAGGAUUAGAUACCCUGGUAGUCCAUGCCGUAAACGUUGGGCGCUAGGUGUGGGGACUUUCCACGGUUUCCGCGCCGUAGCUAACGCAUUAAGCGCCCCGCUGGGGGAAGUACGGA